GACGAACGCUGGCGGCGUGCUUAACACAUGCAAGUCGAACGGAAAGGCCCUGCUUUUGUGGGGUGCCCGAGUGGCGAACGGGUGAGUAACACGUGAGUAACCUGCCCUUGACUUUGGGAUAACUUCAGGAAACUGGGGCUAAUACCGGAUAGGAGCUCCCGCUGCAUGGUGGGGGUUGGAAAGUUUCGGCGGUUGGGGAUGGACUCGCGGCUUAUCAGCUUGUUGGUGGGGUAGUGGGUUACCAAGCAUUUGACGGGUAGCCCGCCUGAGAGGGUGGCCGGCGACAUUGGGACUGAGGUACGGCGCAGACGGCUACGGGAGGCAGCGGCGGGGAAUAUUGCACAGUGAGCGGAAGCGUGAUGCAGCAACGCCGGGUGCGGGAUGACGGCCUUCGGGUUGUAAACCGCUUUCGCCUGUGACGAAGCGGGAGUGACGGUAAUGGGUAAAGAAGCACCGGCUAACUACGUG
rnacentral:rRNA from 1 species